GAUGAACGCUGGCGGCGUGCCUAAUACAUGCAAGUCGAGCGAACGGACCAGAAGCUUGCUUCUCUGAUGUUAGCGGCCGACGGGAGCGUAACACGUGGAUAACCUACCUAUAAGACUGGGAUAACUUCGGGAAACCGGAGCUAAUACCGGAUAAUAUUUUGAACCUCAUGGUUCAAAAGUGAAAGACGGUCUUGCUGUCACUUAUAGAUGGAUCCGCGCUGCAUUAGCUAGUUGGUAAGGUAACGGCUUACCAAGGCAACGAGGCAUAGCCGACCUGAGAGGGUGGUCGGCCACACUGGAACUGAGAAACGGUCCAGACUCCUACGGGAGGCAGCGGUAGGGAAUCUUCCGCAAUGGGCGAAAGCCUGACGGAGCAACGCCGCGUGAGUGAUGAAGGUCUUCGGAUCGUAAAACUCUGUUAUUAGGGAAGAACAUAUGUGUAAGUAACUGUGCACAUCUUGACGGUACCUAAUCAGAAAGCCACGGCUAACUACGUG
rnacentral:rRNA from 1 species